rnacentral:tRNA from 1 species
AAAAAUUUAGUUAAAUAUAUAACAUUAGUUUGUCAAACUAAAAUUAUUAUUAUUAAUAAUUUUUG